AAGUAAGUGUUUUUUGGGCAUACUAAAUUCUUUACUUAUCCAUGAAGUUUGCAAAUUAUUUUCUUAAGGUAGUAAGUGUUUUAGGGAACAUGAAUAUCAAAGAGAGGCUUAAUUUUCUCUGCUUUUAAAGAGUUUAUUCAAAUUCAAUAUGAAUUGGACCCAAAAUCUUGUCGGGGAUUGGUUUAAAUGAGAAGUAAGAUGGUUGAGUACGAAACCAUAAAGGGAAAAGUGACUUUCGAGUCAACUUCGGCUAAAUAUUUGGACUUGAUUCGAUAGUCAAAUUAUGGAAAUAAAUAAACUUACUAGUUCUACUUGUCGAGUAAAUCGUCGUGGCAUAUUUGAAAUCUCAAAAUCAAUUUCGAAUGAAUUAGAAAUUGCAGUUCAAAGUUGGCAAAAAAAAAAAAAAAAAAAAUUGAAAAAUUGGUUGAGAAUUUGCAUAACUCCACUGCUCGAGUGGUGAGGGAGCGACAGUGACACUGUUCGAGCGAUGUCAAGUACCAGGUGAGUGAAAAGGUCACUGCAUAAAAAAUGCCACUGGCGCUAGAGUAACGCACCUGUGGUAGGCGAGCGGCGGACUAGGUUGCAACCUUUUGUAAAAGCUGAUGAGUCGUGGAGCGUGUCUCUUCAGUCACAACAUCUCCUCUUCUAUAAAUAAGACCCUUGGGAGGUCCUUUACUAUAUCCCAACCAUAGGAAAUCAUAACAUAACAUAAAAAUCAUAUUUCCUUAGCCUGAAUUUUACAUAAAAAUCUGUUUUCAUUUCAUUUGAAAGGAGUACAAAGCCAUCUUUUUGGUUCGUUGUUUCUUGUGUUUUGGAGCGCUACAAAUACAAGAAGGUAGUCGUUAUAUCUUGAAAGUUUAAUGCCAUUAUCAAUAGGCACCAUCGUGAGGCAAAAUCGACUUAAAAACAAAGAGUUCAACUUUUGCCUCGACUUUGUAUCCAUUUUCUUGUCGUUACUCUGUCCAAUUUUGGUAAGGUUAGAAAGUUCAAUUUUGAAAGAAAUCACUCAAAUCCAUUUUACAAACAGCAAAUCCAACAUGGAUGAUAUUGAUGAGUCGAUACCAAAUCAAGAAAUUUGAAAUUAUUUGCAGAUCUCAGAAAAAGUUAUCUGCCAUAGGAGCAUGGGAGAACAGCAAGAAAGCAAGUCUGGAGGCUGAGCUCAAGAAGAUUGAGGUAACAAAACCAAGUCUUUACAUAGUUUUCUUUUGUUUUGAAAUUUUAACGAUCAAAAUGUGUAGUUUUCUCCUUAGUUUCAGUUAAUCAUAAUAUCUAAAUCCUCUAGGAGCAACUGGAGAAAAAGAAAGCGGAAUAUGUCGAGAAAAUGAAGAACAAGGUUGCUCUUAUUCACAAGGCAGCAGAAGAGAAGAGGGCAAUGAUUGAAGCCAAACGAGGAGAAGAUCUUCUCAAGGCAGAGGAAACUGCUGCAAAAUACCGUGCCACAGGAACUGCCCCGAAGAAACUGCUAGGAUUUUUUUGAAGCUGAAUUAUUUAGUUUGAUUUGAAACUGAAGUUGCAUUUGUAAAACUUUUUGGUUUGAGAAUUUGUGUUCUAAUUUGGUGAAGAAUUGAUAGGCUGUUCUAUUAUGUGUGCAUAUUGUUGGUAUUUGUUUGUAGAUAUUGGCUUUGUGAAAAAAAAAAAAAAAAAAACAAUCCCUUCCAAGUGUUGCAUACAGAUUGAUGUCCUGGUAACAGACGUGAACAAAUAGGUAUUUCUACUUAUUUACAUUUUCUUUCUAAUCAGCAGAAUAGUGAUAUCUAAUCCCAGGUGGAGGACUUGAAUAUUCUCUCCCAGACUUCACUUACUGAGUGUACUAUCUAUGGUAAAUGCUUAGAAGUUUUUGUUUAUGUCUCCAGGCAUAGGUAUUAAAUUUUGUUCAAAUCAAUACCCAACACCCUCUAUUGAGCAGUAGAAGUGCACUAGAAUGUUAACAAUUCUUUCCUUUUUCCCAAUUCACUGUACAACUGUUUUCUUCAUCACUUUCUAACAUUAAUGAUUUAGUGGCUGGAGAUUUAAUUGUUGGUUGGCUUGAAAGUUGAUCAAUAUAGAUUGAAGUCCUGAUAAGUGAGGGAUUAUGCAGAGAACACCUUGAGUCUAACUCUACGUCAUCUAAGAAGUUUAGGGCACCAUUUUCUCUCACUGUUCAACUUGUUGUGGAACCAUAAACUGACUUAAAAAACUGCUCUACAGUCCUUCUUUACCCUUCAGAGUUGCAUCCAGGACUGGUCUACUCAACGCUUUAGACAUUUCCACAACCUGGAUGGCAUGUACAUAUUCUUAUCCAGUCUAAGAAUAAAGAUAUCACUUGUUAGUUGAAGUUAAAUUUGUAACUUCAUGCAGGUUAUGCCCACUUCUGACCUUAGUUUACCUAAUCUUCUUAAGAUUCAACAGUCAAUUUAUUCAGUCGAUGACAUAAGUUUAGAAUACGCUAUGAAACAAAAGGCUAAUUUUUUGGAAGAUGCUGGUUCCUUUGAAGGAAAGCUUCAUUUUCAUAAUCUCCACUUUCCCCACUUUGAAGUGGACGGGGAAAGUCUGGGUAUCAUCUUGUAGGCUAUGCCCACUUCUGACCUUAGUUUACCUAAUCUUCUUAGAUUCAACAAUCAGUUUUAUUCAGUUGAUGACAUCAGUUUAGACUAUGGAACAAAAGGCUGAUUUUUUGGAAGAUGUUGGUUCCUGUGAAAGAGAGCUUCAUUUUCAUAAUCUUCACUUUCUCCAUUUUGAAGUGGACGGGGAAAGUCAGGGUAUCAUCAGAAAUAUAAAUAUGGAGGAUGAGCUUCGAGAUUUUUAAAAUAUUGAACCUCAGCAUCGGACAGAACUAGUAUUGGAUGAUGGCAAGGAGCUUUUGAGUUCAAUUGAAUUUGACUUAAUGAAAUAUCUCUCUGGUCAUCAUUUAGCAGUUCAGUGCCUUGAAGUUGAGUUGCACUGCUCAAAUUUUGCACUGCAAAUGGACUACUUAAGUGUUGUAGAACAAUCUCAUUGUGAAGAGUACCCAACAUUCCAUCAAGGCAAAGCAGAUGGUUAUAUAAUUGGAUCAAUGAACAUGCGUCUAUUUUAAGAAUUCCAAUUCUUUGAUAAGGAUCCAUCUUGUUCUUGUGUGGUCUUCUCAGAUGCAGCCAAAGAGAUUGAAGCAGAACCGUGUGAAUUCAUGUUUCAGAGAAACUAUGAUCUUUAGGAAUUUUAGUGAAUUGAUUGUUUGUCCAAACUUUCUCACAUGGAUGACUCUUUCAAAUCAUUGCCAGUACCUAUUAUUUCUGGCCAUGGAAGAAUUAGGUCUGCAUUUAUUGGUUGAGCAAAAAUUAACACGGGAAAUCACAGUCUUCAUCAACACCUGAUGGUCUAUAUCUAGAUUGGCAUUUUCUGGAAGAUGACAACUUUGGUAAAUAUUCUUCUUGUAGGAAAAUGCUGUGGGAGAUAGAUACUUACAAGAUAGAUGCUUCUAUGUACUUGAUUGAUAGUAGGAAACAGACCUAUGAUAUCAAUCUCCCUAAGGAUUGUUCUGACAAACCACUCAGAAGCCUUAAAGAAAAUGCUGAACUUACUUUCUGCUGGUUUUUUUUUAUAUGUUUCAUACUUCUGUUGAUGAGAAAGAUUCAGAUAGUUUUUAUAACCACAGAGAUAAAAAAGGUUAAACACGGACAUGUUGUCGAAAGCCGGCAUUGAGAAGGUUCCUUUGUUUGUGGAAUCCAUGUCUAGCGAUCUUGAUUUUUUCUUAAAUUUCAAUUGAUGUCACAGGAAAAGAAAGUAAACUUGCAGAUAAGUUUGUUGAUAUUGUUACAUGUCCAGGGCUUUCUGCAAAUGAUGAUUCUAUUGCUAGUAAUACUACCACCAUGGUUCAACAGCAGUGGAUUGUCGGGUUGCACCAGAGUCUAGAUCAAGCUAGUGAGAACCUGAUUUUACUCUGCCUUUCUAAAGAAGAACUCAUGGAUGGUCUUAAGAAAAAAGUGCAUCAAGUACUUAUUCAGCUCACAAUGACAAUAAUAUUAUAUUGUUGAUGACGUUGUGUGCAAUUAAACAAAUGCCUCUCUACCUCUGUUUCUAUGGAGUCAUGCCACUUACCUAUAUGUAGACAGGUUGUGCAGCAGCCUGCAGUGCUUAAAAUCCAGAUUAUGUUUUCUGUAUAACUUGAUCAAAGUUGCGGAUGAGAUGGCUGAGAAAGAUAUAUGUGAAAUUCAUCCCUCCCUUUCUGUCGUGCAUGAUAUUUUGCGGACAAAAUUAAGCAGCAGCUGUUUAAAAAUAUUAAUUGUUUGCUGACCAAGUUUUAUUGUGGCCAUUGAAGAGACUGUUGACAUCAUGAAGAUAUUAUAUAAUGAGCUACAUCAUUUAUCGUCGGAUGCAAGUCAACAGGGUCAUGAGUUCAUGGACACCAUACUAAAUAUUAUGCUUUCCUUGGAUUGUUGUGUGAUAUCCUAUGAGUAAGUAUUGAUCGCUUUAGAAGUAAAUGAUGGAAAAAUUUUAAGUGACAAUUUCUUUACCUGAUGUAGUGAAAUCUUCCCUUGUUGUUUCUGGGAAGUGAGGAACUAAUGGCUUCUUUCUUUUCCAGCUUAAUCUCGAGAUAGGAGUCCAGUUAAUCACUGACUUGUCAUGACAUUUUUCUUGCACGAUCUCUUGAAGAUUGACUAGUUACAGACAUGUAAUGCUGAACAAAUAUUGCAUUAUCAUGAAAUUCUACCGGCGCGCAUUAUAUAUUUGACCUUCCAGUUUCAGUAUAUGAUGGCUCAUGAAACGCUAUUUAUGCAAGCAGACACUUUUCUUUGCUCCAUGCAAGUCCUUAUUAGGAGAAUUUUGAAAUGUUUAAUUCCAAGUGUGAGUCCUUAAGUUUAAAGACAAGUGCAAAUAAUGUAUUAUAGUGAAAACCUCGAUUUACAGUUUUGGACAGAGAAAACACAAUAGAAGAUUCACAGUUUCUGGUAGCAACAUUAGUCCACUGUGUGUUAUUGUCAUUGCAAUAGACUAAACCUUCACCAGUGUUUGUAGUAAUAGAAGUUUCUUUAGACGUUUUAAUCUUUGAUAUUUUUUCUAUUCCAGAUUUUAGAGGGAUAAGCCAAUUUUCUAUCAGGAAUUAUGGAAUCAAAUGAACUCUAUGCUGCAGCAGCUAGCUUAGGAAUCGAUAUACAUCUCUUCUGUUCAUAUUCAUCUGAAGAUGACUGACAAAACUCUAUUAUCCUGCAUUGAGGUAGGAAUAAAUUCAAAUAGGGGAUUUUGUCCUAAAAUACCCACUCAGAAAGUCUGGCUAAAUACUUCCUCCCCGUAUUUCCUUCAAUUAAUCCUCUCUCAGCUCAUGCUAUAAUGUCUUCAGGAGGCACACGCAUUGAAUUUCUAGAAAUUUCCGUUGAGGAUAAAAUUUGGGCUCUAUAAGAAUCUCAGGUUUCUGACGAAACCAUUGCUUUGCUAAGUGAAAAGAGCUGAUAUGGAGUUUGGGAGGAUUCAAAAUCUGGAAUGACAGGCUGCUCCUCUUUAGUGUCUUCAGCUCCCGACUUAGAGACUGCUGAAUUCAGAAGUGCUUCUGAGGGGAAGAAACUAAAAUAUACUCACAAUCUUUAUGAUGCCAGAGAGCCUCCAAACGAUUUGUUUCAUAUGGAGUCAUUGAAAGCUAUUUUCAGGCGACGUACUCCAUCACCCAAAGCAUCAAUUUCAUGUGAUUCUUGGCUGUCAGGAAGUACAGAGAAAUUUGAUGAAUCUGGGUAAGUCAAAUUUAUCUUUCGAUGACAAACUGUUUCAUCAUAGCCAGGGAUUAGAUAUCAACACAAUGAUGAAUUCAAUCCACCAUGUUAAGAUUUCAUGAUUUUUCAGGUGCAUCAGAUCUCGAAAUACUAGGUGAGAUGGAGAAGGCUACAAUGGCUCAGAUUGGUGUAAAUUAUGAUCGAAGAGGGAGAUCAGGUACAUCUGCAAUGAUCAACUAUAGUAGACAAAAUACCAAGGCUUCUGAAAAUCUACAGGAAGAUUUGAUUGGUGAAGUUAUUGACAUCGACGAUACUCCAGCAUUUAGAAAUAUCGGUGACUGUUCACCAUUUCUGCUUGAUUGGGGGGGGAGCGGGUGGUGUUGGUUAGAUUAUGCAACGAGAAAAUCCAGAAUGAAUAAACCAUUUCCAGGAGUAAGCAAAGUUCCUAUUUAUACAGAUGCUGUUGAAAUUAAUUCUGCCUCAGAUGCCUGGGUUUCUAUUAGGGACAUUAGACAAAGUUCAAAGGAAGAAAUUAGGGAACAUUUUGAUACAGUUGAAAAAAAAAAAAAAUCAUUGAAGUGCCAGAAAAGGCACUUCCAGGAGGAUAUGUUACAGACAAAAUUCCUACAAAUUAUCUUUCCAAGAAAAGGGUCCUCAAAACUAUGGCAGAACACCACUUUCUAAUUCUCUUCUUCUCCACCCGACCUCAACCAGGAUUGUCCUGGACGAUUGAGUUUCUAAACAGAAUAAGGGAAAAGAGUAGAUUGCAACAACAUUCUCUUCCAUGUAACUUAUCCUCGCAUCAAAGGUUACUAGAAGGAAGAGUUCAUCUAUUCUUGAAUUGUACCAAGGAGGCAUCACCUCAGAGAAUAGUCGAAGGAAAGAGACGAAGGAGGCUUCACAACGUUCAAGUUCAUCAUUGAACAAUAAGAGUUUAGCGUCUUGCCAUCAAGCAUUGACUCCAAUCGAUAAGAGAGCAAUUCGGGUGCAUUAAUUGAACUUCUAUCUUAUACCGGAAAAUCUUCUCCUAUUGCAUCCUGAUCUUUAUUUGAUCAACUGCAGAUGCUAUCUUUUGCAACAAAUGGAAAUGGAGGGGGCAAAGUAUGCUGGUCUGGAUUGAUAAAAGUUUUCAUACUUUCAACAGAAGAUUUUAGCGUUGAUUACAAUAUGGCAAGAAGUUUGCAUGAUCAUGUAUUUGCUAAAAUUGUUCAAGAGAGUGGCAAGUUUUUAAGUUCUUAUAUUUGGUUAAUCUAUACCACUAACAAAAAGGGUGCUUCUUUAUGACCCAAGUAUUGUAGCAACAAGAAGUAACUCUCUGGCAUUCUCAAGCUUUUUUUCAUCUCAAAUUUCCCAGGGUAUAUAGAGAAUCAUCAAUGCAAACAGGUACUAAUAGUUUCUGAACUUUUUUUUUUUUUUUUUUUUUAUGUUCAUUUGUUUACUUUGUGUGGACUUAGGUUCAAUUGUUCUUUAGUUUAUUUGUUAAAUGGUCACUAAAUAUCAGUUGAGAAAGGUUGUAUGUCCCUGAUAUUAUCUUUCCAUUAUUAUGCCCUCCUCGGCCGACAUACAUCGUAAGGGAUCCGUUGCAAAAAUUGAAGUCCGGUGCUAUAUUUAUACUAUAAUUAUUUUGAAGUUUAAAGUAUCUGCUGGACCAACUUCUAUAGUCCGGUAAUAAUCCUAUUACCUGGAUUCAAUGAAUAUAUUCCAGAUAUAUAUGGUAGGCGCCUAGUGUUCUCUGGACCAGUUUACGCCAAAAUUAUUUGAAGAUAUGUUUUGGAUCGUGAAUUUCUCGAGGAGAAAGGUAAUGGAAGAGUUUUGGUUGUUGACGGUGAAGGUAGUUGAGAUGUGCAAUAUUAGGCGGCAAACUUGCUGUACAAGCUCAGAACAAUGGAUGUGCCGGUACAGCAGUUGAUGACUGCAUAAGGGAUGUGGAUGAAAUCAAUGGUUGUUGUAUUGGAGUGAGAGCUCUGGCUUCACAUUCAGUGAAAGCUAAUAAGGGGAUUGGAGAAAAGCAUGAAUUCAAGAAUUGGAUGCUUUUAAGUGGGCCUUUUGGUCAAAAUAAUUGAAAUUCGGCUCGUCACUUUAUUUUUGUGGCUGCCUAAACCAAAAAAGAACAGCUCAUAUUUGAUGGAAUUUUUGGGUCUUGUAGCGAUGAUUGCUAUUAAAGAGGAAGAGGAUUCUUUCAUAUUGAUUCCCAAGAAAAAAAUAAUUAACAAAAAGAAAAGAUUGGAGAGGAUUACAUGUGAUCUUUCACCCAUCUAUAUACAUCUGUCUUCUAGCUAAAAUAUCACACUUGUCUAUUUCUUUUUAUAUUUUUAUUUUUUAUUUUUUUGUGUAUGACAGCUUAUCUUUUUAAUUAUUAUAAUAACACGAUACUCCAUAUUACGGAAAAUGUAAUAAUUCAGUUUAUCUUUCAAUUCGGAACUCUCUGAGCUAAUGCUCCAAUUAAUUUUAAUUGAACGAUAAUUUAAUGAACUGAAGUGGUACUGGUAUACUGCACACACAACCUUCACAUUUGUGUGAAAAGCAUGAAGACACAAUAUUAUAUUAUCAUUUAGUAUUAUUUCUAUACAAUGCUGGAAUCAAGUAAAGCUAAAGCACUUCAAGUACUAAUUAUCACAUCAAAGCUUGCAAAAAAUCAUGAUCAAUUAUCCUGUAUCAAAAGAAAAACAAAAAAUAUGUCAUGUCUACGACGAGGAUUUUAGUAGCGUGGAUCUAAUAUGAUUAAUUUUAUUACACUGUAUAUGAGUGUGCUUUUAAAAGUAGAAGGAAAAGCAACAUGAAAUGGUCUAAAGAAGCAGCAUUAUGGACCACUUUGCUUAAGAGAGAAUAUAUUUCUUCCAUUGAGUUGGGUUUAAGAUUUUUUUAUUUUUUAUUUUUAAUGCAUAUAAAGAUAAAAUGGAAGAAGAAUAUAUAUAGACAAAAUUCACAUGAUUCAUAUUGGUCAAAUUGAGUACUUGAUUGAGUGAACAUUACUCUUAGAUCUACAAGUUGAAUCAGUUGAAUGAUAUUGGUCGAAUGUCAUAAAAAUGUUAUAAUUAUUCUCACAAGAUACAAAUUUAUUUAUAGUGAAUACCAAUUAAUUUGUAAACGAGGCAUUCCCAAUAGGAAAAUGCUGAAGUGUUGGAAAAAUUUUGACAUGGGGCUUGACAAAUAUUCACAAUGUCGGGACCUACAUGAAUAAAUAAUUAGAAGGAAGAAAUGGACCCCACCUCCAAAUGUGAGGGUCUGUCAAGACUUCUGUUGAUUCUCUUCUGACAGUGCAGCAGAGUCCUUUCCAAUAUUCCGAUCCCAAAGGCGACAAGAAUUACGAAUUAUUAAUUAUUUUAUUCUUAAUCAUUCUACCGUAUAUUUUUUUUUCCUUAAAAUGCAAAUCCCCAGAAUAGAAUCUCUGUGCCAAUAUCUUUAGCGUACCAAUCAUCCAGCCGAGUCUCCUGUUCUGUUUUCAAGUGACAGUUACCUUCCACCAACCAAUUACACAAAUAUCUCCCAAACCCACCAACAAACUCAUAGAAUUUUUCUCCACAACGUCUUCCCCUGCUCAUAGAAUCUUCUUCUACAAUUCUCGACUUUUUUGUAGUAUCUGUUAGAGCAAAAUUAACAAGAUAGCUAAGUUUUCUGAAGUGAUGGCGGAGGAGGAAGCCAAGAAAGUGGAGGCUGAUCCACGUUCUGAGGCUCCACCACCACCUCCGGAGGAAACAGUUGAAGCAGCUCCGAAAGAUGUCACGGAGGAGAAAUCUGUAAUUCCACCACCACUUCCUCCACCGGAGGAGAAACCAGCUGCUGAUGAGUGUAAAGCUCUUGCUGUUGUUGAAAGUAAUUUCUUUACCUACCCAACUCUCAUUGUAUGCAAAUUUUUUAUUUCAUUUUCAGAUUAUUUUUGUGUUAUAUCUAUUUAAAGAAGUAAUUUUACCUAUUUAUGAUGAAAUCCAUUAUUUUCAGUAAAAAUAAAAUUAAUGACAAAAAUAAGGUUUUUUUUUUUUUUUUUUUUUUUUAUGGUUUUUUUUUUUUUUUUUUUUAAGAAAUGAGUAAAUUACACACUCGGUCCUCAAUGUUGAGAUCGGUCGCAAGUUAGUCCCAGCCUUUUUUCUUGCACUGCACUGAUAUUUCCAUUUUUCUGGAUUUUUUACAAAUUUGAGGGCAAAAGUUUCCUUUUCUCAAUUUAAAUGUACAUAUGCCCAUACUAGCCUUAUAAGAGAUAUUCACUGAGUUAGUUAUUUUAAUAUUUUUCUAUGUCAACUGAUGAGCCAUUUUUUGACGUCUCAACUUGGAAAAUUUACAUGGAUAAUUAACUUUUUUUCAUUUGAUUAGGUUUACCAAGAUAUAUAAUUUAAGUCAUGCCUUGCACAAAUUAAGUUAAUUAGUAACAAUUUUUGUAUUAAUUGUUUGUGACUUUUCUUCUUCCUCCUGAGCAAAGAACCAGAACCUGCUGAGGAGAAAAAACUUGAGGGCUCUAUUAACAGAGGUAAUUUAAGAUUACAAGUUAUUGUAUUGUCUUUUUAUAGUGUGGUUGACGUACUAAAAAGUACAUUUUUAUGUGCUUAUUCGGGUGAUACCACGCGAAAAAGUCGAGAAAAGUUGCCUUUUUAAGUGCAGAAGCAUACAUGCUAUCAGAAGUUUUAACUAGUAAAUGUAUUGAUAACAUAAUUAGCCUCUGUUAAUUAAUCAAUUUAUAAAGAGGAAUUUAUUGGAUCCCACGAAAUGUUGGAAUAAUAAAUAAUCAGUAGUUGUGAGUGUUCGGUCGAAAUUUACACGGAAGCUUAGUUCUUUAUAUUAAUAUGGCCUCAGAUGCUGUACUUGCUCGAGUUACUACGGAGAAGAGAUUGUCUUUAAUUAAAGCAUGGGAAGAAAGUGAGAAAUCAAAAGCUGAUAACAAGUAAGUGUUUUUUGGGCAUACUAAAUUCUUUACUUAUCCAUGAAGUCUGCAAAUUAUUUUCUUAAGCUAGUCUGGCUUAAUAUUGCUGAUUUUUAUUUAUUUAUUUAUUUAUUUUUUUGGAUUUGUCAAAAAUGUCUAUUUUGGUACUUGGAUACACAAUCUUCACAAGCCCAACUUCCCGUAAUAACUCCAUGAUAUACGAUUUUAGUCACACGACUCACCUUAGAAUGCUUAGUGUGUGUGGAUGUUAGUCGAACAACCAUGAAUAUCCACAACUCAAGAACCCUCUAGGGAACAUGAAUAUCAAAGAGAGGCUUAAUUUUCUCUGCUUUUAAAGAGUUUAUUCAAAUUCAAUAUGAAUUGGACUCAAAAUCUUGUCGGGGAUUGGUUUAAACGAGAAGUAAGAUGGUUGAGUACGAAACCAUAGAGGGAAAAGUGACUUUCGAGUCAACUUCAGCUAAAUAUUUGGAUUUGAUUCGAUAGUCAAAUUAUGGAAAUAAAUAAACUUACUAGUUCUACUUGUCGAGUAAAUCGUCGUGGCAUAUUUGAAAUUUCAAAAUCAAUUUCGAAUGAAUUAGAAAUUGCAGUUCAAAGUUGGCUAAAAAAAAAAAAAUUUUGAAAAAUUGGUUGAGAAUUUGCAUAACUCCACUGCUCGAGUGGUAAGGGAGUGACAGUGACACUGUUCGAGCGAUGUCAAGCACCAGGUGAGUGAAAAGGUCCCUGCAUAAAAAAUGCCACUGGCACUAGUGUAACGCACCUGUGGUAGGUGAGCGGCGGACAAGGUUGCGACCUUUUGUAAAAGCUGAUGAGUCUUGGAGCGUGUCUCUUCAGUCACAACAUCUCCUCUUCUAUAAAUAAGACCCUUGGGAGGUCCUUUACUAUAUCCCAACCAUAGGAAAUCAUAACAUAACAUAAAAAUCAUAUUUCCUUAGCCUGAAUUUUGCAUAAAAAUCUGUUUUCAUUUCAUUUGAAAGAAGUACAAAGCCAUCUUUUUGGUUCGUUGUUUCUUGUGUUUUGGAGCGCUAUAAAUACAAGAAGGUAGUCGUUAUAUCUUGAAAGUUUAGUGCCAUUAUCAAUAGGCACCAUUGUGACGCAAAAUCGACUUAAAAACAAAGAGUUGAACUCUUGCCUCAACUUUGUAUCCAUUUUCUUGCCGUUACUCUGUCCAAUUUUGGUAAGGUUAGAAAGUUCAAUUUUGAAAGAAAUCACUCAAAUCCAUUUUACAAACAGCAAAUCCAACAUGGAUGAUAUUGAUGAGUCGAUACCAAAUCAAGAAAUUUGAAAUUAUUUGCAGAUCU
rnacentral:lncRNA from 1 species